AUAUAUAUAUAUAUGUAACAUCGCCACUGCAUUGAGCCAAAAAGUGGAAAGAAAAGCAAUUAGACUGGUGCAUUAGUUAUCCCGUAUCCACUCGGUAAUCGCUCUCAUCAAAUACUCGUGAUCGUGGUCGUGGUGUGCGUUCAGAUUUUGCUAUUCAGUUGGCUGCACCCCCUACUUCUUGGUCAUGAUCUUCAAGUACUCGAGGGCAUUCUGGGCGGCAUGCCGCUGGGCAUCGGCAGCUGUUGGUCCGCUGCCGUGGCAAACGCCAACGGGCAGCGUGGACAGUUGAACCAGGCACUGGAACUGGCCAGAGAAGGUCUUCUCCUCUAUGUCCACAUAGGUCACCUCGAACUGGUUCUCCGUGGCGAUUUCGCCCAGCAGCUUGAUGUAAUCAAUCUUGUUGUUCUUCAAGCAAGUCUUCUGAAAAAAAUACAAAUGGAGUCGAAUUAGCAGAGUCAAAUUAAACUUUGAACUUUCAAGCAAGAACACUAUUAUUAUAAGGAUUGUGAGGGGUUAAGGCAAAUAUGUACUUUCGAAAGCAGGUUUUGAAUGUUGGAAAUAUGUUUGUGAUCGUUUUUGAAU
ensembl:ncRNA asRNA:CR44599 antisense RNA:CR44599